rnacentral:rRNA from 1 species
AGAGUUUGAUCCUGGCUCAGGACGAACGCUGGCGGCGUGCUUAACACAUGCAAGUCGAACGGAGUACCCUCGAAAGAGAUUUCGGUCAAUGGAGAGGACUACUUAGUGGCGGACGGGUGAGUAACGCGUGAGGAACCUGCCUUUCAGAGGGGGACAACAGUUGGAAACGACUGCUAAUACCGCAUAACGUACGGGUAUCGCAUGGUACUGGUACCAAAGAUUUAUCGCUGAGAGAUGGCCUCGCGUCUGAUUAGCUAGUUGGUAGGGUAACGGCCUACCAAGGCGACGAUCAGUAGCCGGACUGAGAGGUUGGCCGGCCACAUUGGGACUGAGAUACGGCCCAGACUCCUACGGGAGGCAGCAGUGGGGAAUAUUGGGCAAUGGGCGCAAGCCUGACCCAGCAACGCCGCGUGAAGGAAGAAGGCUUUCGGGUUGUAAACCUCUUUUGACAGGGAAGAGCAGAAGACGGUACCUGUCGAAUAAGCCACGGCUAACUACGUG